GCUUGACAAAACCCUUUGGCUUUCAUUCUUCUUAAUGGUUUUCGUAACCGAGAAAACGUUUUGAUCUCUCAACUACUCAACCUGCAAAACGUUUUGAGUCUCCCCAUCUGUGUAUUGUCUUGGUUAUAAAGAGGACUGGCUUCGCUGAUUUCUCUUUCACCCCGUUUCCCCUAAUCCUUUCUUCGUUCUUUCACAGGUGAUUGCUUUCCAUUAUAUUGUUUCAUUAUUAUACCUUUUCAUUUUUCAAUGUCUGAAAAAUCUCAGCCAAGGUUUUGCUUUUGUUGUUUAUUCUUUUAAAUCAGGUGAAACUUCAUGUCUUGCAAGUUCAAGCUAUCCUUUCCAAUUACUUUUUUAAUGAAUAUGAUAUUGUCUUAUUAUAUAAGAAAAGAAAAAUAGUCAUGUGAAAGAAUGUAGAACUAUACUACUAAUGGUGAGUCUUGCACAAGAAAAAUUGUCUUUCUUUAUGUUCUCAAAAAGUUAGAUAUUUCAAAUCUAUAAUAUCUUGCCUAUUUAAUUUUUCAUGAAGAUGGUUUGGCAAGAAAAGAACUUUGGGAUCAGAAAAGCUUUAUGCCAGUGUGGAAAAAGGGUGGUGAAUAGAAUAAUUGAUGGCUUCCUCUCCAAAUAUAAAGCCUAAGAUCAUCAGAGGCUCCGCUGGCUAUGUAUGUGAAAGCUUUAAUCCUUUUGGUGUUUUAAAACUGUUAUGGAGGUGGUGAUUCUGAUAUGUUUGUUUAAAUUCUGGCAAGUGGGAGGUCUGCUGCACAAAUCGCUAGCUCACAUCAAAUUGCGCUUAGAUAUAACCAAGAAAGGAUAUGGAGACUAAAAUAUUGAGCAACAAUAUUUUUCAGAUAUAACCAAGAAAGGAUAUGGAGAUUCCAUGUCCAUAUGCGAUGAUUAUAUUGCCAAUGUCUUUGGAGAAAACUGAAACACUGCAUAGUGAUUCACAUCAUAUGGUAAUGUGGACAUUGAUGGAUGUGAUGCACAGAUGAUCCUUUUGAAGUAGUUGAAUAUAUUGAGGAUUUUCAUUCUUUGUAUUGGGAACUGGAGGUAUCUGAUUGUUAUAAUUUUUUAACUUCAACUUGGAAAUUGAUAGAAGUUUAAGGAGGGCAUUGACUUCAAAUUGCGGGUAGUUUCACCAAAGACUUAAGGAAAGGAAGCAGCAUGGGGAGUUGCACAUAUUGUUACUAUCUCUUAAAUUAACUUGCUCUAAUGAGUCUUUGUUGGUUGAAUUGAGCUCAUUUUCUCAAGCCUUAAGAGCAAGUUUCCUAAAUUUGAUGGUUAUGUAGAUGUUUUGCCUUUGUUGACUCCUCUUGCUUUUAUAUCUUAAUUUUAGCAGAUACACAUUUUCAAUGUUAUAAAAAUUGAUGUGUCUUGCUUGCUGAAAUGAACUAAUAUAGUUAACAGAGGAGAAUUCUUAUUGCUUACUUAUUAGAAUGUGAAGAUAAAUUGUCUAAUUUACAAAAGAUUUAUGUCUCCAGGUUCUUUCUGAGGAAAAUCAACGCGCAAUUGUAGUUAACUGGUGGUACUAAUUUACAACAGAUAAGAUGGAUGACAGCUGAGGUGUACUGGCUCUAAUUUACAGCACUGAAAAAUAUCUUAUCUUUUGAGUUUUUUCCGCUUUGUUUCUAUAUAUGGAAAUUUGAAGUACGAUUGAGUUGCAGUGCUUACCUGCUUGCUCACAAUCAAAGUGUUUAAUUGGGUUUUGUGAUUUUAGCUCUUAAUUUCAAGAGUAAGAAUUUCAUUUUAACUUCAUGUCGUUUUACAUUUAGCUUGCUGGAUGUUAAUUAAUUAGGCCCUUUGUAGUGGAGAGUGGAAAAUCUGCUACCUUA